rnacentral:lncRNA from 1 species
UGGUCUAUAUUAAGCACGAUGUUUAUAUCUUAGUUUAGCAUUUUAGUUGAUACUAUCCUGAUAUAAGGUCAAAGUUGGUUUUGAUAGAAAGCUAUUUGACAUGCUUAUCGCAAUUUUAUGAGAUUGAAUACAUAGGUAGGCUUGAUCAGGGUCCCGGUUUAGUAGAAAAUCGUGUUGUUUUGUAGAAGAAUAUUUUGUGAAUAGGGAAAUUUUAUUAAAUUUCAAGUUAUUAUCAAGAUGUCGACAUUGUUAUUGAACGUCUUUCGUCUAGUAGAUGAUAUCACUCACAUUAUCCUAUGAGUAGCUUUACUUUCUCAAAAUAAGAGGUUCAGUUGUAGUACUUAGGGAUUGAAUCCACGUGGAGCGUAGACACACAAUGAACACAAAUGCAGUCAAUGAUUAAGCUAGACAAAUAGAUUAUACAGCCGUAAACAAGUAAAGCAGUUUGAUUGAUUGGGU